UUUGAUCCUGGCUCAGAAUCAACGCUGGCGGCGCGCUUAACACAUGCAAGUCGAACGAGAAAGCGGGGGCAACUCCGCGAGUACAGUGGCGUACGGGUGAGUAACACGUGGGUAAUCUGCCUUUUAGUGGGGAAUAACGCUGGGAAACCGGCGCUAAUACCGCAUAAGCCCGAGAGGGGAAAGCAGCAAUGCGCUGAAAGAGGAGCCCGCGGCCGAUUAGCUAGUUGGGAGGGUAAAAGCCUACCAAGGCAGAGAUCGGUAGCCGGCCUGAGAGGGCACACGGCCACACUGGCACUGAAACACGGGCCAGACUCCUACGGGAGGCAGCAGUGGGGAAUCUUGCACAAUGGGGGCAACCCUGAUGCAGCGACGCCGCGUGAGCGAUGAAGCCCUUCGGGGUGUAAAGCUCUUUCGGCAGGGACGAUAAUGACGGUACCUGCAGAAGCAGCUGCGGCUAACUACGUGCCAGCAGCCGCGGUAAUACGUAGGCAGCGAGCGUUGUUCGGAGUUACUGGGCGUAAAGGGUGUGUAGGCGGUUCUUUAAGUUUGGUGUGAAAUCUCCCGGCUCAACCGGGAGGGUGCGCCGAAAACUGGGGGACUCGAGUGCCGGAUGGGAGAGUAGAAUUCCUGGUGUAGCGGUGAAAUGCGUACAUCUCAUGAGGAAUACCGGUGGUGCAGACGGCUCUGUAGACCGCAACUGACACUGAGACACGAAAGCGUGUGUAGCAGACAGGAUUAGAUACCCUGGUAGUCCACGCCCUAAACGAUGCAUAUUUGGUGUAGGUCAUUCAAGUUGAUCUGUUGCUAGAGCUAACUCGUUAAAUAU
rnacentral:rRNA from 1 species